GAUGAACGCUGGCGGCGUGCCUAAUACAUGCAGGUAGAACGCUGAAGGAAGGAGCUUGCUCUUUCCGGAUGAGUUGCGAACGGGUGAGUAACGCGUAGGUAACCUGCCUGGUAGCGGGGGAUAACUAUUGGAAACGAUAGCUAAUACCGCAUAACAGUAGAUGUUGCAUGAUAUCUACUUAAAAGGUGCAAUUGCACCACUACCAGAUGGACCUGCGUUGUAUUAGCUAGUUGGUGAGGUGCCGGCUCACCAAGGCGACGAUACAUAGCCGACCUGAGAGGGUGAUCGGCCACACUGAGACUGAGACACGGCCCAUACUCCUACGGGAGGCAGCAGUAGGGAAUCUUCGGCAAUGGACGGAAGUCUGACCGAGCAACGCCGCGUGAGUGAAGAAGGUUUUCGGAUCGUAAAGCUCUGUUGUAAGAGAAGAACGAGUGUGAGAGUGGAAAGUUCACACUGUGACGGUAUCUUACCAGAAAGGGACGGCUAACUACGUG
rnacentral:rRNA from 1 species